rnacentral:rRNA from 1 species
GGAAAGCUUUAUUGUGGUUUUGGAUGGACUCGCGGCCUAUCAGCUUCGUUGGUGGGGUAAUGGCCUACCAAGGCGACGACGGGUAGCCGGCCUGAGAGGGUGACCGGCCACACUGGGACUGUAACACGGCCCAGACUCCUACGGGAGGCAGCAGUGGGGAAUAUUGCACAAUGGGGCGCAAGCCUGAUGCAGCGACGCCGCGUGAGGGAUGAAGGCCUUCGGGUUGUAAACCUCUUUCAGUAGGGAAGAAGCGAAAGUGACGGUACCUGCAGAAGAAGCGCCGGCUAACUACGUGCCAGCAGCCGCGGUAAUACGUAGGGCGCAAGCGUUAUCCGGAAUUAUUGGGCGUAAAGAGCUCGUAGGCGGUUUGUCGCGUCUGCCGUGAAAGUCCGGGGCUUAACUCCGGAUCUGCGGUGGGUACGGGCAGACUAGAGUGCAGUAGGGGAGACUGGAAUUCCUGGUGUAGCGGUGAAAUGCGCAGAUAUCAGGAGGAACACCGAUGGCGAAGGCAGGUCUCUGGGCUGUAACUGACGCUGAGGAGCGAAAGCAUGGGGAGCGAACAGGAUUAGAUACCCUGGUAGUCCAUGCCGUAAACGUUGGGCACUAGUGUGGGGACAUUCCACGUUUUCCGCGCGUAGCUAACGCAUUAAGUGCCCCGCCUGGGGAGUACGGCCGCAAGGCUAAAACUCAAAGGAAUUGACGGGGGCCCGCACUAGCGGCGGAGCAUGCGGAUUAAUUCGAUGCAACGCGAAGAACCUUACCAAGGCUUGACAUGAACCGGAAUGAUGCAGAGAUGUGUCAGCCACUUGUGGCCGGUUUACAGGUGGUGCAUGGUUGUCGUCAGCUCGUGUCGUGAGAUGUUGGGUUAAGUCCCGCAACGAGCGCAACCCUCGUUCCCAUGUUGCCAGCGGGUUAUGCCGGGGACUCAUGGGAGACUGCCGGGGUCAACUCGGAGGAAGGUGGGGACGACGUCAAAAUCAUCCAUGCCCCCUUAUUUCUUGGGCUUCACGAAUGCUACUAUGGCCGGUACAAAAGGGUUGCGAUACUGUGAGGUGGAGCUAAUCCC